UUCCAAAUUCAGGGAGAGGAUGCUUCGAAUGCCACAUUUGUAGGAAAUUGUAUCACAUGGACGCGACGAAGGCUGUUCAAAUUUGAAGUCUUCCAAAUGCGUCCUUCAUUCCCCUGAAUUUGAAGGAUGGGUCAGGUGUGUCCUUUGUGGCCCAACAUAUCCCAGGAUUCAUUGCGGGCCAUACAGGAGAUAUUUUUCUGAUAAUGAUAGUGAUCGAAGUGGGAGUUAAUGCAGGAGACGAACACUUUCAAAUAAUGUGAGGACAAACUUGAAAGAGAGACACUGUGAGAGUGGACACAUCCACACUGCUGCUGCAUCUGUGCUCACCACGAUGGCCUCCUUCAGAGAGAUGGAGGACUCACUCUGUCUUCUGGCUGAUUAACAGACCAGCUCAGCUUCCCCGUUCUCCACUGACGUCCUCGCUGUGACCCAGGCCCCAAAAAACAAGUUCCCCUCAGCUGUGGACUUUCUUGGAGCUCCAGAGAUCCACCCAGCAAGGUUUAAAGGUCCUGCUGGUGAUUACCUGGGCAGUGUUUUACCUGUGGCUGUGUUCAAACGUGUUCACACCUGAAUCCUCACAGCUCCAAUCACGUCUGACACAUCCUGAUAGGAAUACUUCAAUCAGUGAAGUACUCGAGUAAAUGUACUCUGUUACAUUCCAGCACCGGUCAUAUCCACGCUGUCGCCCAAUGGGG
ensembl:lncRNA